rnacentral:rRNA from 1 species
UGUGUAGGCGGUUCUCCAAGUUUGGUGUGAAAUCUCCCGGCUUAACCGGGAGGGUGCGCCGAAAACUGGGGGACUAGAGUGCGGGAGGGGAGAGUGGAAUUCCUGGUGUAGCGGUGAAAUGCGUAGAUAUCAGGAGGAACACCGGUGGUGUAGACGGCUCUCUGGACCGUAACUGACGCUGAGACACGAAAGCGUGGGUAGCAAACAGGAUUAGAUACCCUGGUAGUCCACGCCCUAAACGAUGCAUAUUUGGUGUAGGUCAUUCAGUUGAUCUGUGCCGGAGCUAACGCGUUAAAUAUGCCGCCUGGGGAGUACAGUCGCAAGGCUGAA